rnacentral:rRNA from 1 species
CUACGGGUUGCACCAGUGGGGAAUAUUGGACAAUGGGGGGAACCCUGAUGCAGCAACGCCGCGUGGAGGAUGACGCAUUUCGGUGUGUAAACUCCUUUUAUAUGUCAAGAAAAUGACGGUAGCAUAUGAAUAAGCGCCGGCUAACUCCGUGCCAGCAGCCGCGGUAAUACGGAGGGCGCAAGCGUUACUCGGAAUCACUGGGCGUAAAGGACGCGUAGGCGGGUUGAAAAGUCAGGUGUGAAAGCCUACAGCUUAACUGUAGAACUGCACUUGAAACUCUCAAUCUAGAGUAUGGGAGGGGCAGAUGGAAUUAGUGGUGUAGGGGUAAAAUCCGUAGAUAUCACUAGGAAUACCUAAAGCGAAGGCGAUCUGCUGGAACAUUACUGACGCUAAGGCGUGAAAGCGUGGGGAGCAAACAGGAUUAGAUACCCCUGUAGUC